AGCUCACCACCUCAAGAGGACACAUGAAGAGACCUGGAAACAAAGGACUUUAACAAGGGAGGAAGAAACAGAUGAACCCAGGUCAGAAAAAAGAUCAGCUUGGGCCUGAAGACCUUUACAUGAAAUAAGGACUAGGCUUUUGCCUCUGCUACUCCACAAACUGGAAAUAAGGAUGGCCCUUCUGUCCUUGACUCCACCUGCACCCAUUCCUUAAAGACUAGCACAUGACAAACUUUCUCUACAAGAUGGGCACAUGACCUGUAUGGUUGAGUAUCAGAUGAACUACAGCCAAAAUUCAUAUACAAGCAACAGUCAGAAUGACAUCGUGUCUACAGAACCUGUACUGGUGGCCAGGGAUGGAGGUGAAAUUGAAGCAGCUAUACAAAAAUGCAUUACUUCAAGAAAGGAGUGAUUGCUGUCUCCUGUGUCAUCGUCGUGAUCCGCCUGUGCUGGAGAGCCCAUGAGGACCUCCAGCAGGAGCAUAUGGCUGCCCUGUGAGCCCUGCAGUGCUCCAUGGAUCAGCAGGACUGGAGACUAGAGGACCACCUCCAGCUGCACCACAACACCUGGUGAGAGCUGCUGCAGCAGGGUCAAUCCAUCUGUACAGCCUUCCAUAUGGUCAUCAACCACCUGGUGGCUACUCCCAUGCUGGCUCCCACCCCUCUAGCUUCCCCCACAACCCUCCUCCAUGGCCACUGAGGACCCUGAACAUGAGGCAGUGGCACUACCCAAU